GCUGAGGCGUGAUGACGAGGCACUACGGUGCUGAAGCGACAAAUGCCCUGCUUCCAGGAAAAGCCUCUAAGCAUCAGGUAACAUCAAAUCGUACCCCAAACCGACACAGGUGGUCAGGUAGAGAAUACCAAGGCGCUUGAGAGAACUCGGGUGAAGGAACUAGGCAAAAUGGUGCCGUAACUUCGGGAGAAGGCACGCUGAUAUGUAGGUGAAGCGACUUGCUCGUGGAGCUGAAAUCAGUCGAAGAUACCAGCUGGCUGCAACUGUUUAUUAAAAACACAGCACUGUGCAAACACGAAAGUGGACGUAUACGGUGUGACGCCUGCCCGGUGCCGGAAGGUUAAUUGAUGGGGUUAGCGGUAACGCGAAGCUCUUGAUCGAAGCCCCGGUAAACGGCGGCCGUAACUAUAACGGUCCUAAGGUAGCGAAAUUCCUUGUCGGGUAAGUUCCGACCUGCACGAAUGGCGUAAUGAUGGCCAGGCUGUCUCCACCCGAGACUCAGUGAAAUUGAACUCGCUGUGAAGAUGCAGUGUACCCGCGGCAAGACGGAAAGACCCCGUGAACCUUUACUAUAGCUUGACACUGAACAUUGAGCCUUGAUGUGUAGGAUAGGUGGGAGGCUUUGAAGUGUGGACGCCAGUCUGCAUGGAGCCGACCUUGAAAUACCACCCUUUAAUGUUUGAUGUUCUAACGUGGGCCCCUUACCGGGGUUGCGGACAGUGUCUGGUGGGUAGUUUGACUGGGGCGGUCUCCUCCUAAAGAGUAACGGAGGAGCACGAAGGUUGGCUAAUCCUGGUCGGACAUCAGGAGGUUAGUGCAAUGGCAUAAGCCAGCUUGACUGCGAGCGUGACGGCGCGAGCAGGUGCGAAAGCAGGUCAUAGUGAUCCGGUGGUUCUGAAUGGAAGGGCCAUCGCUCAACGGAUAAAAGGUACUCCGGGGAUAACAGGCUGAUACCGCCCAAGAGUUCAUAUCGACGGCGGUGUUUGGCACCUCGAUGUCGGCUCAUCACAUCCUGGGGCUGAAGUAGGUCCCAAGGGUAUGGCUGUUCGCCAUUUAAAGUGGUACGCGAGCUGGGUUUAGAACGUCGUGAGACAGUUCGGUCCCUAUCUGCCGUGGGCGCUGGAGAACUGAGGGGGGCUGCUCCUAGUACGAGAGGACCGGAGUGGACGCAUCACUGGUGUUCGGGUUGUCAUGCCAAUGGCACUGCCCGGUAGCUAAAUGCGGAAGAGAUAAGUGCUGAAAGCAUCUAAGCACGAAACUUGCCCCGAGAUGAGUUCUCCCUGACUCCUUGAGAGUCCUGAAGGAACGUUGAAGACGACGACGUUGAUAGGCCGGGUGUGUAAGCGCAGCGAUGCGUUGAGCUAACCGGUACUAAUGAACCGUGAGGCUUAACCUU
rnacentral:rRNA from 1 species